rnacentral:rRNA from 1 species
AGUCGAGGGGUAUUAUCUUCGGAUAGAGAGACCGGCGCACGGGUGCGUAACGCGUAUGCAAUCUACCUUUUACAGAGGGAUAGCCCAGAGAAAUUUGGAUUAAUACCUCAUAGUAUAUAGACUCGGCAUCGAGAUUAUAUUAAAGUCACAACGGUAAAAGAUGAGCAUGCGUCCCAUUAGCUAGUUGGUAAGGUAACGGCUUACCAAGGCUACGAUGGGUAGGGGUCCUGAGAGGGAGAUCCCCCACACUGGUACUGAGACACGGACCAGACUCCUACGGGAGGCAGCAGUGAGGAAUAUUGGACAAUGGGCGCAAGCCUGAUCCAGCCAUGCCGCGUGCAGGAUGACGGUCCUAUGGAUUGUAAACUGCUUUUAUACGAGAAGAAACACUACUUCGUGAAGUAGCUUGACGGUAUCGUAAGAAUAAGGAUCGGCUAACUCCGUGCCAGCAGCCGCGGUAAUACGGAGGAUCCAAGCGUUAUCCGGAAUCAUUGGGUUUAAAGGGUCCGUAGGCGGUUUAAUAAGUCAGUGGUGAAAGCCCAUCGCUCAACGGUGGAACGGCCAUUGAUACUGUUAGACUUGAAUUAUUAGGAAGUAACUAGAAUAUGUAGUGUAGCGGUGAAAUGCUUAGAGAUUACAUGGAAUACCAAUUGCGAAGGCAGGUUACUACUAAUUGAUUGACGCUGAUGGACGAAAGCGUGGGUAGCGAACAGGAUUAGAUACCCUGGUAGUCCACGCCGUAAACGAUGGAUACUAGCUGUUGGGAGCAAUCUCAGUGGCUAAGCGAAAGUGAUAAGUAUCCCACCUGGGGAGUACGUUCGCAAGAAUGAAACUCAAAGGAAUUGACGGGGGCCCGCACAAGCGGUGGAGCAUGUGGUUUAAUUCGAUGAUACGCGAGGAACCUU